CAAUAGCGUAUAUUAAAGUUGUUGCGGUUAAAAAGCUCGUAGUUGGAUUUCUGCCGAGGACGACCGGUCCGCCCUCUGGGUGUGUAUCUGGUUUGGCCUGGGCAUCUUCUUGGAGAACGUAGCUGCACUUGACUGUGUGGUGCGGUGUCCAGGACUUUUACUUUGAGGAAAUUAGAGUGUUUCAAGCAGGCACACGCCUUGAAUACAUUAGCAUGGAAUAAUAAGAUAGGACCUCGGUUCUAUUUUGUUGGUUUCUAGAGCUGAGGUAAUGAUUAAUAGGGAUAGUUGGGGGCAUUCGUAUUUAACUGUCAGAGGUGAAAUUCUUAGAUUUGUUAAAGACGGACUACUGCGAAAGCAUUUGCCAAGGAUGUUUUCAUUGA
rnacentral:rRNA from 1 species